AUAAAUUCCCAAAAGAAACCAUCGAAACCUUCACAUAUCUGUAUAAUGUUUAACUUAGCCAGACGAUUUUUUGCACUCUAUCAGUAAUAUUGAGCCAUUCUCUUCUUUUUCAGGAUGAAUCCUAAUCUGCAACAAAUCCUUCACCUCUUGCUGCAAAUGGUUGGAUUUCCCAACUAGUGAGAUUUAGGUUCUCAAUUUCAGAUGGAAUCGACAACAUUGUAUUUAUCUAGAAAGGAUUGAGAGAGAGAUUGAGAGAGAUUAGAGAGAGAUAAAGAAAGAGAGAA
rnacentral:lncRNA from 1 species